rnacentral:rRNA from 1 species
AUUGAACGCUGGCGGCAUGCUUUACACAUGCAAGUCGAACGGUAACAGGCCGCAAGGUGCUGACGAGUGGCGAACGGGUGCGUAAUGCAUCGGAACGUGCCCAGUCGUGGGGGAUAACUACUCGAAAGAGUAGCUAAUACCGCAUACGAUCUAUGGAUGAAAGCGGGGGACCGUAAGGCCUCGCGCGAUUGGAGCGGCCGAUGUCAGAUUAGGUAGUUGGUGGGGUAAAGGCUCACCAAGCCAACGAUCUGUAGCUGGUCUGAGAGGACGACCAGCCACACUGGGACUGAGGCACGGCCCAGACUCCUACGGGAGGCAGCAGUGGGGAAUUUUGGACAAAGGGCGCAAGCCUGAUCCAGCAAUGCCGCGUGCAGGAAGAAGGCCUUCGGGUUGUAAACUGCUUUUGUACGGAACGAAACGGCUCUGGUUAAUACCCGGGGCUAAUGACGGUACCGUAAGAAUAAGCACCGGCUAACUACGUG